CCUUUUGUUGUUGAUGUACUAAAGAUUGUAUCAAAGAAAGUGAGACGAGGACAAAGAAACUGAAAUUAUCUCACUAUUUAGGCACCGGUUUGGGCAUAUGUAGAUGCUCAGCACCUUGCUCAUGCCCUUGUGAAUAGUAGUAAGAUCGUUACAUAGAGACCAGCAUUCAACGUUACAAGUUUGGCAUAGUGCUCCGAGUCUUAGGCCAGGUAAAUACUCAAUACACCAGCAUCCAUCGUUACAACAGUAUCUUGUUUUACUACGGUGCAACCGAGUAAUACAUAUAUAUGGCGUAAAAAGAGGAGACGUGAUCGGCUUUCUGCGGAACAGUAAUCCCAAGAAGACUGCUGGAACGAUGUACAAUCAGUUAUGACCACAGCUGCAUGGUCUGCAGCAAGUACAAGGUGGACAAUUGGGUUCAGUAUCUGCAAGAAACAAAUACAAUGUGGUUAUAAACGGGACAACCUAUGUUCGCGAUAAUGGCCUGAAUUUCUAGCUUGCUGUUGUAAGUAGACCGAAAAAUUCUGAAGAAGAGCAUAGUACAUCCAAUGCUUUGUAAUGGAAUUGAACUCCAUGUUAGCUCACCGGGCAACAAAAAAGGGUUUCAAUUAUUACACCUAAGGUGAUCUAUUCCUGAUGGCUGAUGAGAGUGUAUCAGGUGAAAAUGAGUUUGGAUUAAAACAUUGCUGGGAUCAAACUAAUUAAUCAGGAUAUCAUGAGAUGUAGGGAGAUUAUUUCUCCUGGUAGUUCCCGCAAAAUGAACAGAUAUAAGUAGAAGAUAGAGAUUGCCAUAUAAAAAAGCACGAUUUCCUGUGAACAAAACUGGUAUAUCAAAGAGAGGUACAGGUUGCACAUGGUGGAAUCGCAAGGCAGAGCACAUACUCGAAGAUGCCGGGUGCAAGAAAAUGAGCAGCAUAAUCCCGGUUGUAAUAAGUCGAAGAACCAAGAGGUACCUCCAAUCCAUUGUGAGGGAAAAUGAAGGCCGUUGCACUCACUAUGGUUGGGCAUUAUGCUUCAUCUCCGUCUAAAUAAAGGAUCUGUACCAGGACUAGUUCAAAACAUAUUUACGAGACAAGAACUUUC
rnacentral:lncRNA from 1 species